GCUUCGAUAGCUCAGUAGGCAGAGCGUACGUCUCAUAAUCCAUCAGAUGUUAUCAACAUGACCAUCAAGCCUAAGUCAGCGUAAGGCCGGGAGUUCGAUCCUCUCUCGAAGCA